AGAGGGUACACCGAGGAGUUGUGAACUGCUACAGCUAAGACUACUACGACCAAUUUCCACGUUCACCUUUCAGAAGCCUUACAAAGUCUCCAGGAACGUUGUUCUUGGCUAAAGAGUUGCCCAUCGACGCAUGGCGAAGUGAAUCCUGCCUAUGCAACGAGGAGUCCUAACAUUACCACAAAAAGCCAAAAGGGUGUCAGCUCCCUCAGAUGCAAUCAGCCCCUGUCAGUUAGAUGUGAAGGCAGAUUCAAGGCUGAGGCGCACUGCUGUUCCUAUCAAGAAGAGGCUACUGCUCAGCAGAAGUGUUAAGGUUAACGGCGCACUGUAACAAGAAGAGACACCGAAAGAGACUCAAAAGCUGUUGACCGUACUAAAAACAAAAUACACAAAAAGAAAGGCUUAGUUUUAUUUCAAUUUAGAAUACAUUAUACAGGGAUAAAUGGUUCAGUAGCUUUAUUUUUUAACAGGAUUCAUUACAUCUGGUAGUGUUUACAGUAGGGCUGGUAGGUCACAUACCUAUUACUGUAGUGCUUUAAGGCUACGAACUCCCAAACUCAGUCAAUUAACAACAUGUACUUUAAAAAAUAUUUUCAGGCAUAAAACAAACAGAUAAAGGUAAGCAUCUAUAUUUGCACCAUAUAAAAUUGGUUGGCAAUCAUACUUUCAAACUUUUCAUAAUGCAGCCACAAAGGAUGGCUUAGAUCCAGUAUUUGGUAGGUUUUAAUAUUUCAGAUGUCAUUUGUUUAAACUGUGCUAACCGAUAAUAUAUCUGGCCAGUCUGACAGACAUUUCGUGACCUUUAGACAUUAUAUUAUAUAGUGAUUUUAGUGGCCAGGAGGCUAAGCCUCGACGGUGGUGGGGUCAUUAUGAUCAUGGAAAAGAAACAGAAGAGUGAGAAAAAUGUGGCUUAAUUGCAAUCAACAGUAUUGUAAUCUUUUAGGAGACGGGGAGAGGAGGACAUUAAACUUCUGGCCGUAACCCUGCUUUAACAACGCCUUUGUGUGUCUUACAGCGAAGAUCACAGCAUCCAACACAUGUGGAGCCUCUGAUUUCCAUGUCACACGCCUAAACGGCACUCCGUUACUCAUGCUCAAAGUUGGAUUGAAGUGUAAGCAUCAUUUCUUGAAUAGGAAUAAUGUAAUCCAGCUGUGCAGUGUGUCUCUGCAUUAAAGCUACAAUUUUAAGCUCACCAUCAAAACGCUCCUUUAGAGCUGGAGAGUUAUAUUUAGAGUUUAUACAGCAGUUAGGGCCAACCCCGCAACCACAAAAGAGGAGAAGCAGAUCCUUUCUGCUCUGGCUACCACAAAGUCUAACAUAAAAUCCGUUCAGAGUCUUAGCUCAAGCCCAAAAAAGUAGCUAGUCAGAUUUUUAAACUAAAACAUUAGUUCUUAACACGUAAUAAGUUGAAUGAAUGCAAACAUGUUAAAUUAAGGGCAAAGUCUAAUUAAAACAACAUGAAGGCAAAAUACAUUUCCAUCCCCUUAUAAGGGAACACUGUGUCCCAAACAAACAGUGCAGCACUGCCAAAAGGGGCACAGAGCAGGAUGGGAGGAAAAGUUGGGCAAGCUUGACCGACUGGCUGUUUUUUGGCUGCAUUCAUUUCAGUCCAAUUUGUCUUUACCUGCACCUCCAAACAAACCUGCAAGCAGCAAAAGUUUAUCAGUCCUCUCUGGUCAGAAACAGGAGGCUGGCUGAGUGCCACUGCUGUCCCCGUGCUCGCAACUCCACCCUCUCUUUCCUCCUCCCACAGCACAAGAUACCUCAUGUGUCUGACUACAGCAGAAUCUCUGCUACAGCAGCACUGUCCUUAAAUG